AACGAACGCUGGCGGCAUGCCUAACACAUGCAAGUCGAACGAGACCUUCGGGUCUAGUUGCGCACGGGUGCGUAACGCGUGGGAACCUGCCCUUAGGCUCGGAAUAACUCCCCGAAAGGGGUGCUAAUACCGGCUAAUGUCUUCGGACCAAAGAUUUAUCGCCUUUGGAUGGGCCCGCGUUGGAUUAGCUAGUUGGUAGGGUAAAAGCCUACCAAGGCGACGAUCCAUAGCUGGUCUGAGAGGAUGAUCAGCCACACUGGGACUGAGACACGGCCCAGACUCCUACGGGAGGCAGCAGUGGGGAAUAUUGGACAAUGGGCGAGAGCCUGAUCCAGCAAUGCCGCGUGAGUGAUGAAGGCCUUAGGGUUGUAAAGCUCUUUUACCCGGGAUGAUAAUGACAGUACCGGGAGAAUAAGCUCCGGCUAACUCCGCG
rnacentral:rRNA from 1 species